CGGAGGAUCCAAGCGUUAUCCGGAAUCAUUGGGUUUAAAGGGUCCGUAGGCGGUUUUGUAAGUCAGUGGUGAAAGCCCAUCGCUCAACGGUGGAACGGCCAUUGAUACUGCAAGACUUGAAUUAUUAGGAAGUAACUAGAAUAUGUAGUGUAGCGGUGAAAUGCUUAGAUAUUACAUGGAAUACCAAUUGCGAAGGCAGGUUACUACUAAUAUAUUGACGCUGAUGGACGAAAGCGUGGGGAGCGAACAGGAUUAGAUACCCUGGUAGUCCACGCCGUAAACGAUGGAUACUAGCUGUUCGGAGCAAUCUGAGUGGCUAAGCGAAAGUGAUAAGUAUCCCACCUGGGGAGUACGUUCGCAAGAAUG
rnacentral:rRNA from 1 species